rnacentral:rRNA from 1 species
GACGAACGCUGGCGGCGUGCUUAACACAUGCAAGUCGAACGGAAAGGCCCUGCUUUUGUGGGGUGCUCGAGUGGCGAACGGGUGAGUAACACGUGAGUAACCUGCCCUUGACUUUGGGAUAACUUCAGGAAACUGGGGCUAAUACCGGAUAGGAGCUCCUGCUGCAUGGUGGGGGUUGGAAAGUUUCGGCGGUUGGGGAUGGACUCGCGGCUUAUCAGCUUGUUGGUGGGGUAGUGGCUUACCAAGGCUUUGACGGGUAGCCGGCCUGAGAGGGUGACCGGCGACAUGGGGACUGAGAUACGGACCAGACUGCUACGGGAGGCAGCAGUGGGGAGUAUUACACAAUGGGCGGAAGCCUGAUGCAGAAACGCCGCGUGCGGGAUGACGGCCUUCGGGUUGUAAACCGCUUUCGCCUGUGACGAAGCGUGAGUGACGGUAAUGGGUAAAGAAGCACCAGCUAACUACGUG